GCUUGUCUCAAAGAUUAAGCCAUGCAUGUCUAAGUAUAAACGACUUUAUACUGUGAAACUGCGAAUGGCUCAUUAUAUCAGUUAUAGUUUAUUUGAUGGUCCUUGCUACUUGGAUAACCGUAGUAAUUCUAGAGCUAAUACAUGCAUCAAUACCCAACUGUUCGCGGAAGGGUAGUAUUUAUUAGAUUGAAACCAAUGCAGUCUUCGGGCUGGUAUUGUGUUGAGUCAUAAUAACUGUGCGGAUCGCGUUUUACGCGAUAAAUCGAUUGAGUUUCUGCCCUAUCAGCUUUGGAUGGUAGGAUAUGGGCCUACCAUGGCAUUAACGGGUAACGGGGAAUUAGGGUUUGAUUCCGGAGAGGGAGCCUUAGAAACGGCUACCACAUCCAAGGAAGGCAGCAGG
rnacentral:rRNA from 1 species